AGCAGCCGCGGUAAUUCCAGCUCCAAUAGCGUAUAUUAAAGUUGUUGCAGUUAAAAAGCUCGUAGUUGAAUUUCGGGAUCAGUACGCUGGUCAUGCCUUUGGUAUGCACUGGUGUCACUGGUUUCUCCCUUCUGAAGAACCGUGAUGUCAUUAAUUUGGUGUCGCGGGGAAUCAGGACUGUUACUUUGAAAAAUUAGAGUGUUUAAAGCAGGCUCACGCUUGAAUACAUUAGCAUGGAAUAAUGAAAUAGGACGUUUGACCCUAUUUUGUUGGUUUCUAGGAUCGACGUAAUGAUUAAUAGGGAUAGUUGGGGGCAUUAGUAUUCAAUUGUCAGAGGUGAAAUUCUUGGAUUUAUUGAAGACUAACUACUGCGAAAGCAUUUGCCAAGGAUGUUUUCAUUAAUCAAGAACGAAAGUUAGGGGAUCGAAGACGAUCAGAUACCGUCGUAGUCUUAACCAUAAACUAUGCCGACUAGGGAUCGGAUGAUGUUAAUUUUAUAAUGACUCAUUC
rnacentral:rRNA from 1 species